rnacentral:rRNA from 1 species
CCUACGGGUGGCAGCAGUGAGGAAUAUUGGUCAAUGGGAGAGAUCCUGAACCAGCCAAGCCGCGUGAGGGAAGACGGCCCUAUGGGUUGUAAACCUCUUUUGUCGGAGAACAAAACCCGGGACGAGUCCCGGACUGCGUGUAUCCGAAGAAAAAGCAUCGGCUAACUCCGUGCCAGCAGCCGCGGUAAUACGGAGGAUGCGAGCGUUAUCCGGAUUUAUUGGGUUUAAAGGGUGCGUAGGCGGUCUGUUAAGUCAGCGGUAAAAUUGCGGGGCUCAACCCGGGCCUUGCAGCGCGAACUGGCGUGCUUGAGUCCGCGGAAAGCAGGCGGAAUUCGUCGUGUAGCGGUGAAAUGCUUAGAUAUGACGAAGAACCCCGAUUGCGAAGGCAGCUUGCUGCAGCGGAACUGACGCUGAUGCUCGAAAGCGCGGGUAUCGAACAGGAUUAGAUACCCCUGUAGUC